UGGGGAAUAUUGGACAAUGGGCGCAAGUCUGACCGAGCAACGCCGCGUGAGUGAAGAAGGUUUUCGGAUCGUAAAACUCUGUUGUUAGAGAAGAACGUUGUGUAGAGUGGAAAAUUACACAAGUGACGGUAUCUAACCAGAAAGGGACGGCUAACUACGUGCCAGCAGCCGCGGUAAUACGUAGGUCCCGAGCGUUGUCCGGAUUUAUUGGGCGUAAAGCGAGCGCAGGUGGUUUAAUAAGUCUGAUGUAAAAGGCAGUGGCUCAACCAUUGUGUGCAUUGGAAACUGUUAGACUUGAGUGCAGUAGAGGAGAGUGGAAUUCCAUGUGUAGCGGUGAAAUGCGUAGAUAUAUGGAGGAACACCGGUGGCGAAAGCGGCUCUCUGGACUGUAACUGUCACUGAGGCUCGAAAGCGUGGGUAGCAAACA
rnacentral:rRNA from 1 species